GGGUUAAGUGCCGUAGCGAGGGUGCCGGGUGCUUGUUACUUGAUGGCGUGGCGGGUGGGUGAGUAAUGCCUGGGGAUCUGCCUGGUAGUGGGGGACAACGUUUCGAGAGGAACGCUAAUACCGCAUGAGGUCUACGGGAGAAAGCAGGGGCCCUUUGGGCCUUGGGCUAUCAGAUGAGCCUAGGUCGGAUUAGCUAGUUGGUGGGGUAAUGGCUCACCGAGGUGGAGCUAAGUAACUGGUCUGUGAGGAUGAUCUGUACAACUGGAACUGAGACACGGUCCCGACUAAUCAGGGUGGCGGCCGGGGGGGUUCUUGGACCAUGGGCGAAAGCCUGAUCCAGCCUUGCCACGUGUGUGAAGUGGGUCUUCGGAUUGGAAAGCACUUUAAGUUGGGAGGAAGGGCAGUAAGCUAAUACCUUGCUGUUUUGACGUUACCGACAGACUAAGCACCGGCUCACUCUGUGCAAGCAGCUGCGGUGAUACAGGGGGUGGAAGGGUUUUUCGGGAUUUCUGGGCGUAAAGCGCGCGUAGGUGGUUUGUUAAGUUGGAUGUGAAAGCCUUGGGCUCAAAAUGGGAACUGCAUCCCCCACAGGGGGGAUAGAGUACGGUAGAGGGUGGUGGAAUUUCCUGUGUAGCGGUGAAAUGCGUAGAUAUA
rnacentral:rRNA from 1 species